rnacentral:rRNA from 1 species
AUGGCCACUGCUCCCAACAUGGAGAUGAUCGCCUCUUCGCUGCGCAGCUGCUCCCUCAACGGCGGCGGCCGGCGGCCGGGCCGGCGCCACCGCCACGGCCACGCCAGGGGCGCUGAGGGCAGCAACGACAGCGAGGGCGUCACCGUCGAGCUCAACUCCGACGUCGCCCUGCCCUACCACUGGCAGCAGUGCCUCGACAUCCGGACGGGGCAAGUGUACUACAUCAACUGGGAGGACGGCACCCGGACGACUAUCGACCCUCGCACGCCGUCCUUUUGCUCCGCCUUGUCGACGCCGCGGUCCACCUGUUUCACUUCACACCGCGCAGCCUUCACUUCGUCGUCCAGCUCUGGCUACACCUCCGCGGCGUCCAGCGUCACCGGCGACUAUGGCUACGGCUAUGAUGACAGCGACGGCUAUAGUGAAGGCUACGGCGACGAGGAGAGCAGCAGCAGUAGCAGCCGGAGCUCCGGCGUCUCGUCCGUGCUCUCGUCUUUCUUCCCCAGUGACGAGCCCGCCUCCAGCGACAGUGGGCACGCCACCAGCCACGUGCUCGUUGCGGUCGGGUGCAGGGCGUGUUUCAUGUACUUCAUGGUGCCCAAGAGCGUCGGCCUAUGCCCCAAGUGCGGCAGCUCCGGCCUCCUCCACCUCGGAGCCUCUUACGCCUGA